rnacentral:rRNA from 1 species
AUUGAACGCUGGCGGCAGGCCUAACACAUGCCAGUCGAGCGGAUGAAGGGAGCUUGCUCCUGGAUUCAGCGGCGGACGGGUGAGUAAUGCCUAGGAAUCUGCCUGGUAGUGGGGGAUAACGUCUGGAAACGGGCGCUAAUACCGCAUACGUCCUGAGGGAGAAAGUGGGGGAUCUUCGGACCUCACGCUAUCAGAUGAGCCUAGGUCGGAUUAGCUAGUUGGUGGGGUAAAGGCCUACCAAGGCGACGAUCCGUAACUGGUCUGAGAGGAUGAUCAGUCACACUGGAACUGAGACACGGUCCAGACUCCUACGGGAGGCAGCAGUGGGGAAUAUUGGACAAUGGGCGAAAGCCUGAUCCAGCCAUGCCGCGUGUGUGAAGAAGGUCUUCGGAUUGUAAAGCACUUUAAGUUGGGAGGAAGGGCAGUAAGUUAAUACCUUGCUGUUUUGACGUUACCAACAGAAUAAGCACCGGCUAACUUCGUG